rnacentral:rRNA from 1 species
GACGAACGCUGGCGGCGUGCUUAACACAUGCAAGUCGAACGGUGACCCUCGGAGCUUGCUUCGGGGUGAGCAGUGGCGAACGGGUGAGUAACACGUGAGUAACCUGCCCCUGACUCUGGAAUAAGCGCUGGAAACGGCGUCUAAUACCGGAUACGACACGCCUCCGCAUGGGGAGCGUGUGGAAAGUUUUUCGGUCUGGGAUGGACUCGCGGUCUAUCAGCUUGUUGGUGAGGUAAUGGCUCACCAAGGCGAUGACGGGUAGCCGGCCUGAGAGGGCGACCGGCCACACUGGGACUGAGACACGGCCCAGACUCCUACGGGAGGCAGCAGUGGGGAAUAUUGCACAAUGGGCGAAAGCCUGAUGCAGCGACGCCGCGUGAGGGAUGACGGCCUUCGGGUUGUAAACCUCUUUCAGCAGGGAAGAAGCGAAAGUGACGGUACCUGCAGAAGAAGCACCGGCCAACUACGUGCCAGCCGCCGCGGUAAGAC